CCAGGGUGGUGUAGUGGGUAGAGUGUCAGACUCGUAGGACCUGAGAGAGACCAGGGUUCAAAUCCCUGCAGCUGGG